AAAAUAAUCCUACCCUUUGUGAAUUUUGUUUGUUUGAAUAAUUUUUUUUUUUAAAAAAUUAUUGGAGUCUUUCCCUUUAGAGUUUGCUUUUGAGUUUGUAAAAGAAUUCGAAAACAUCUAAAGGGGAUGGUCAAUAAUUUUUUUUGAAAAAAGACAUUUUUUAAAAUUAAACUUUUUGUAUUCAUUUGUCUAAAAAUUAUUUUUAUAAUAUAAAAACAACUUUUGACAAUGGAUCUCUUGGUUCUCGCAACGAUGAAGAACGCAGCAAAAUGCGAUAAGUAGUGUGAAUUGCAGAAUACGUGAAUCAUCGAAUCUUUGAACGCAUAUUGCACUUUUUUAGUUUACUAAAAAAGUAUGUCUGUUUGAGUAUCAGUAAAAUAUUCUCAUAAAAAUCAUUGUGUAUUUUUAUGGUUAUGAGUGUUUUACAACGAUACAAGUUGUUUCACUUUAAAUUUUUUUUUAAUAUUGAAAUUUUUCUAAUUUUAAUAAUUAAAAUUGGAUAAAAUUUUCCCGUCAAAAGGAAUAACCUAAACAAUUUUAAAUGAUUAAUUUUAGCAAAAUUUUCGUAAAAAAGGAAAAUUUUUAUUAAAAUAACUUGAUCUCAAAUCAGAUAAGAGUACCCGCUGAACUUAAGCAUAUCAAUAAGCGGAGGAAAAGAAACUAACAAGGAUUCCCUUAGUAACGGCGAGUGAAGCGGGAAGAGCUCAAAUUUGAAAUCUUCAAGGUUUUACCUUGACGAAUUGUAGUUUAAAGAAGUGUUUUCUGCUGAAGUUUUGGUAAAAGUUCUUUGGAAUAGGACAUCAUAGAGGGUGAGAAUCCCGUAUUUGACCAUUAUUUUCAGCUUUGUGAUACACUUUCAAAGAGUCGGAUUGUUUGGGAAUGCAGUCCAAAAUGGGUGGUAAAUUUCAUCUAAAGCUAAAUAUUGGCGAGAGACCGAUAGCGAACAAGUACCGUGAGGGAAAGAUGAAAAGAACUUUGAAAAGAGAGUUAAACAGUACGUGAAAUUGUCAAAAGGGAAGCGUUUGACACCAGUGUUGUUUUCUCGAAAAUCAAUUAAAAAUGGCUCGAUUUUGUAUUGCUGAGACCUUAAAAGCUCACUGUACAUUUUUCGUGUCUUUUUUAAUGCACUUUUCGUUUAACAAGUCAACAUCAGUUUCUUUUGUUGUAAAAGGGUCAUUGGAAGGUGGCUUUCUUUUCGGAGAAAGUGUUUAUAGCCUUUGGCCUCUGCAAUCGAGAGACUGAGGUCUGCAGCGUAGACUCUUCGGGGUUAGAUACAUUUGUGCUAAGUUAUAGCUUUUUAUAGACAACUUGUUGACUAUAAUUAGUCAUGUAGCUUACUCGCUUAUGCUAUUUUACCUACGCUAGGAUG
rnacentral:misc_RNA from 1 species